GAUUGAAAGAAGAUGGUAUCUUGUUUAUUCCUGAGCAAAAUAAAGGUCAUUCGUCGUUAAAAACAAACCAAGAAAGAAUUUUAUGGAAAUCAAGAUGUCAGCAGAGAAUUACCAGUCAUAGAAGCAAUGUGAAAUCUACAGGAAGUUCAUUGUAUUGCUGGAUACCACUAUAGAUGGGUGUAUCCUGACUUUUUUUUGUUCUCAUAUAUAUUUGUUUCAGUCUUACAGCAUUUCUUGUAUUGUGAUUAUGUGUAUCUCCUACUGUUUCCAUCGUGGUAUUACAUAAGAUGUAAUUAUUCAAGAUUCCAAGUUCAACUUGUUCAAGUGCAAUAAUUUUUUCUAUUGUCAGGAAUCCCAUUAUUUCAUAAACAAUGUUUGUGUAAGUUGGUCGAUACAAGUUAUACAGUUUUUAUUCAUUUGUUUUGCGCUCUUUCUAGUUAAUUAAUUAAUUGUUGUAAUGCAUUGCCCCAAAACAUGGUAUGAGAUACCUUAUAUAUGUUAUUCAAUAUAGCUGUAAUAUAUUGUUUUUUUGA